GACGGGGGAUGCGAGCGUUAUCCGGAAUGAUUGGGCGUAAAGGGUCCGCAGGUGGCCCGGUCAGUCCGCUGUCAAAGCCUGGGGCUCAACCCUGGAGAGGCGGCGGAGACCACCGGGCUUGAGUCCGGUAGGGGCAGAGGGAAUUCCCGGUGUAGCAGUGAAAUGCGUAGAGAUCGGGAGGAACAUCCAUGGCGAAGGCAGCUACCUGGACCAACACUGACACUGAGGCACGAAAGCGUGGGGAGCAAACAGG
rnacentral:rRNA from 1 species